rnacentral:lncRNA from 1 species
GGAAAUCUUAGAUUUUGUUAUAGUCUUGAACUGGAGAAGGCCUUUCUAAACAUGAAACAAAGCAUAUAAACCACAGAGGAAAGAUUGGCAAAUUUGACUAUUUGAAAAUUAAAAUCUCUCUAUAGAGACAUAUAUAGAUAUAGAUAUAUAAAUAUAUAGAUAUCAAAGCCCAAAAGACAAAACCAAGGAAAACCUUCACAGUCUGUGUAAAAGAUAAUUUCCUUAAAAUACAAAGAUGCCUUAAAAAUCAAAAAGAAAAUGACAAAACAACAAAAAAAGAAAACAAAAAGCACAGCCUUUUUCUAUUAGAAAAAAUGGGAUAAGUUGAGAAAUAGAAAUGGUAAGGAAGCAUAAAAAGAUGCUCAACCUCAGAGUUUAACAGUACAAAUUAAAACAAGAGACUGUUUUAUCUCUGAUGUGGUUGAAACAGCAAGGAUACAGGUCAUGAACGUCAAGUAGGCAAGAGUCAUAUCUUGCAGAGUCUCUUAGGCCACAAGUUUUAUUUUAAGUGUGAUAGGACAGAAUUGUAGGCUGUUAAGCUGGAGAAUGAGAUAACCCAAUUUCUGUUUUAAUAGCAUCACAAAAAUCACUCUGACUAUUAUGUGUAGACGUGAACAGGGACAAAGUGGAAGCUAGAAGACGGACGGUUGCAAUCAUUCGAAUGAAAGAUGGUGGUAGAUUAGGUACUGGCAGUGGAAGUGGUGAGAAGGCGUCAAAUCUGAGUCCUAUUUUGAAAGAAGAGUCCACGAGAUUUGCUGAUAUAUUGGAUGUAUGGUGUGAGAGAAAGAGAAGAGUCAAGGAUAAUUCCAAGAUUUUGGCGCUAAACAACUGGCAGGUUUGGAAGGUGCCAUUAGCUGAGUUGGCGAAGAGAGGGAAAGGAGAACAUUUCAGAGGGAGAAAUUUUAAAAGUCCUCGAGCUGCUUGCUUUACAUGCUAAUAAAGAUAUUAAGCAGUUAAUUGGAUAUGGGAGUUUUGAUUUCAAGAGAGAAGUUGGGACAAGGAUUAUAUACUUGCUGUAUUGCAUUUUUAUUUUCAUUCAUCUCAAAGUAUUUUCUAACUUCCUCUGUGAUUUCUUUGACCCGUUGGUUGUUUAAGGGUGUCUUGUUAAAUUUCCAAGUAUUUGUUAGUUUUCCGUCUCUGAUUGGUUUCUGGUUUCAUCCCUUUGUGGUCAGAAAAGAUACUUUGUAUGAUUUCCAUAUUUUUAAAUUUACUGACUUGUUCUGUGGGCUCAUGUAUGAUUUAUCCUGGAGGAUGUUCCAUGUGCACUCAAGAAGAAAGAGUAUUCUGCUGUUGUUGGGUACAAUGUUCUAUAUCUGUCUGUUUGGUCUGGUUGGUUUAUAGUGUUGUUCAAGUCUUCUCCUUCCUUAUUGACCUUCUGUCUAGAUGUUCUAUCCAGUAUUGAAAGUAGGGUAUUGAAGUCUCAAAUUACUAUUGUCUAUUUCUCCCUUCAAUUCUGUCAAUGUUUGCUUCAGAUAUUUUGGGGGCUCUGUUGUUUGGUGCAUAUAUGUUUAUAGUUCUUAUAUCUCUUGAGGAAUUGACAGAACUAUACAUUUGGGUGUUAGCAGUGUAUACCUGGUAUUAAAACUAUGAAACUGGAUAAGAUCAUCUGUGAUGUGAAUGACGGGAGAAGAGAAGAAAGCCCAGGACUAAGCACUGGGGACCUUCCAAGAUCUAGAAGUUGGGAAGAGGAGAAGGAAUUGACAAAGGAGAUUGAGGAGGAGUGGCCAGUGAAGUAGAAGGAAAAUCAGGAGUGUGGUUUGUCAGCUAAGUGAAGAAAGCGAGGCUGGUGAUGAGUCAACGUAAUAUUCAUGAAUUGGAGUUCAUGGCUCAAAUGUGGAUAAUCAUAGAGUUCUCCAGGAAAACUAGAAUUUGGCAUGAAGACUGGCAUAGGUCAGAACCCGGUGGGGCAUAUUGUCGAGAGUGCCUCAAAACCCAAUGGACGGCAACAGAAACAACUGACUUCAACCCAGUGGUACCAAGCCAUCAUUCUGAUAGACCUUUAGGACAAUUUUGUCCAUCUGGGGAGGAAAUCUGAGAACUAAAGCGAAACUGGUUUUUUGGGGAGAAGGCUAAAGAACCAGGUUUGGAGAAGUGCAAGAAGGAGGACAGUUCUGGAGAGCUUGACAGCAGGAGUCAUCGCAGGAAGAGUGCAAGAAGGACCUGGUGACCCAGCAAUUCCUCUCCUUGCUAUAUAUGAGAGAAAUGAAAAUAUAUAUUCUCAUAAACCAAAAGGCGGGAACAACUGACAAACAGAUAAGUAAAAUAUAGUAUAUCCACACAAUGGAAUAUGAUUCGGCAAUAAAAAGAAAUGAGGUACCAAUACAUGCUAUAACAUGGAUGAACUUUGAAAACAUUACGCUAAGUGAAAGAAGCUGGACACAAAAGACCGUGUGUUGUAUGAUUCCAUUUAUACGAAAUGUUCAAAACAGGCAAAUCUCUGGAGACAGAGAAUAAAUUAGUGGUUGCCUGGGGAUGGAGGAGUGACUGAUACAGGAUAUAGGGCCUCUUGCUGGGGUGAUAAAAACUUAAAAUAGAUUGUGGUGAUGGUUGCACAACUCUGCGAGUAUACUAAAAACCAUUGAAUAGUGCAAUUCACAUGGCUGGAUUGUAUGGUGUGUGAAUUAUGCCUCAAUAAAGCUGUUAUUAAAACAAAACAAAACAAAACGAAAGAAUGACCUGGCUUUAAGAGACUGUCCUUCCCCUCUGCGUGUCAGGCUCAUGAGGAGGCUGAGUCCUUUGCAAGUGACAAGAUAAAAGGUAAUUUUUG